UACGGGGGGGGCAAGCGUUGUUCGGAAUUACUGGGCGUAAAGCGCGUGUAGGCGGCUCGGCAAGUCGGGUGUGAAAGCCCUGGGCUUAACCUAGGAAGUGCACUCGAAACUGCCAAGCUUGAGUUCUGGAGAGGAAGGCGGAAUUCUCGGUGUAGAGGUGAAAUUCGUAGAUAUCGAGAGGAACACCGGUGGCGAAGGCGGCCUUCUGGACAGCAACUGACGCUGAGACGCGAAAGCGUGGGGAGCAAACAGG
rnacentral:rRNA from 1 species